CCUACGUGUGGCUGCAGUGGGGAAUAUUGGACAAUGGGCGAAAGCCUGAUCCAGCCAUGCCGCGUGUGUGAAGAAGGCCUUCGGGUUGUAAAGCACUUUCAGUGGGGAAGAAAGCCUUGGGGCUAAUACCCUCGAGGAAGGACAUCACCCACAGAAGAAGCACCGGCUAACUCCGUGCCAGCAGCCGCGGUAAUACGGAGGGGGCGAGCGUUAAUCGGAAUUACUGGGCGUAAAGCGCGCGUAGGCGGUCUGAUAAGCCGGUUGUGAAAGCCCCGGGCUCAACCUGGGAACGGCAUCCGGAACUGUCAGGCUAGAGUGCAGGAGAGGAAGGUAGAAUUCCCGGUGUAGCGGUGAAAUGCGUAGAGAUCGGGAGGAAUACCAGUGGCGAAGGCGGCCUUCUGGACUGACACUGACGCUGAGGUGCGAAAGCGUGGGUAGCAAACAGGAUUAGAUACCCCGGUAGUC
rnacentral:rRNA from 1 species